rnacentral:tRNA from 1 species
GCCGGAGUGGCGGAACUGGCAGACGCGCCGGACUCAAAAUCCGGUUGGAGCAAUCCAGUGUGGGUUCGAAUCCCACCUCCGGCA